GUACACACCGCCCGUCRCACCAUGGGAGUCGAUUGCUCCAGAAGUGGGUGCGCCAACUCGCAAGAGAGGCAGCCCCCCAAGGAGUGGUUGGUAACUGGGGUGAAGUCGUAACAAGGUWKCCGUAGGUGAACCUGCAGAAGGAUCA
rnacentral:rRNA from 1 species